GGACGGGUGAGGAACACGUAGCUAACCUGCCCCGAUGCGGGGGAUAGCCACCGGAAACGGUGAGUAAUACCGCAUGAGUAUCUACCUUCGGGAGGAGGUACGAUGAAAGGUCUUCGGACCGCGUUGGGAGGGGGCUGCGUCCGAUUAGCUAGCUGGUGGGGUAACGGCUUACCAAGGCGACGAUCUUUAGCUGGUCUGAGAGGAUGAUCAGCCAGACUGGGACUGAGCACACGGCCCAGACUCCAUACGGGAGGCAGCAGUAGGGAAUUUUCCACAAUGGGGGCAACCCUGAUGGAGCAACGCCGCGUGCAGGAUGAAUGUCUUCGGAUUGUAAACUGCUUUUCUCUGUGACGAAUAUGACGGUAGCAGAGGAAUAAGGACCUGCUAACUACGUGCCAGCCGCCGCGG
rnacentral:rRNA from 1 species